rnacentral:rRNA from 1 species
CCUACGGGUGGCUGCAGUGGGGAAUUUUGGACAAUGGGGGCAACCCUGAUCCAGCCAUGCCGCGUGCGGGAAGAAGGCCUUCGGGUUGUAAACCGCUUUUGUCGGGGAAGAAAUCCUCUGGGCUAAUACCGCGGGGGCAUGACGGUACCCGGAGAAUAAGCACCGGCUAACUACGUGCCAGCAGCCGCGGUAAUACGUAGGGUGCAAGCGGUAAUCGGAAUUAGCGGAGGUGAAGCUGGAGCACGCGGGCGAAAGCCCGGGGCUCAACCUGGGAACUGCAUUUGUGACUGCAAGGCUUGAGUGCGGCAGAGGGGGAUGGAAUUCCGCGUGUAGCAGUGAAAUGCGUAGAUAUGCGGAGGAACACCGAUGGCGAAGGCAAUCCCCUGGGCCUGCACUGACGCUCAUGCACGAAAGCGUGGGGAGCAAACAGGAUUAGAUACCCCAGUAGUC